rnacentral:rRNA from 1 species
AACACAUGCAAGUCGAACGAUGAACCUCACUUGUGGGGGGAUUAGUGGCGAACGGGUGAGUAACACGUGAGUAACCUGCCCUUGACUCUGGGAUAAGCCUGGGAAACUGGGUCUAAUACCGGAUAUGACCUUCCAUCGCAUGGUGGUUGGUGGAAAGCUUUUGUGGUUUUGGAUGGACUCGCGGCCUAUCAGCUUGUUGGUGGGGUAAUGGCCUACCAAGGCGACGACGGGUAGCCGGCCUGAGAGGGUGACCGGCCACACUGGGACUGAGACACGGCCCAGACUCCUACGGGAGGCAGCAGUGGGGAAUAUUGCACAAUGGGCGCAAGCCUGAUGCAGCGACGCCGCGUGAGGGAUGACGGCCUUCGGGUUGUAAACCUCUUUCAGUAGGGAAGAAGCGAGAGUGACGGUACCUGCAGAAGAAGCGCCGGCUAACUACGUGCCAGCAGCCGCGGUAAUACGUAGGGCGCAAGCGUUAUCCGGAAUUAUUGGGCGUAAAGAGCUCGUAGGCGGUUUGUCGCGUCUGCCGUGAAAGUCCGGGGCUCAACUCCGGAUCUGCGGUGGGUACGGCAGACUAGA